GGUGAACGCUGGCGGCGUGCUUAAGACAUGCAAGUCGAACGGCAGUCUUCGGACUGUAGUGGCGCACGGGUGAGUAACGCGUAACUGACCUACCCCAAAGUCGCGGAUAACGAUUCGAAAGAAUCGCUAAUACGUGAUGUGCUGUCAGGUUGUGUUCUGCCAGUAAAGAUUGAUUGCUUUGGGAUGGGGUUGCGUUCCAUCAGCUAGUUGGUGGGGUAAAGGCCCGCCAAGGCGACGACGGAUAGCCGGCCUGAGAGGGUGGCCGGCCACAGGGGCACUGAGACACGGGUCCCACUCCUACGGGAGGCAGCAGUUAGGAAUCUUCCACAAUGGGCGAAAGCCUGAUGGAGCGACGCCGCGUGAGGGAUGAAGGUCUUCGGAUCGUAAACCUCUGAAUCAGGGACGAAAGACACUUCGGUGGGAUGACGGUACCUGAGUAAUAGCACCGGCUAACUCCGUGCCAGCCGCCGCAGUAACAC
rnacentral:rRNA from 1 species